AAACUACGAUUAGAUACCCUAUUAUCCUAAGUGUUAUGCAUUAUCUAGAGUAGUAGGAGGUAAGGUCUUGAAACUCAAAGAAUUUGGCGGUGUUUUAGUCCAUUCAGAGGAACUUGUCCCGUAAUCGAUAAUCCACGUUUACUUAACUUAGAUUUGCAAACAGCUUGUAUACCGCCGUCACAAGAGGAAUUCUAGAGAAUCCCCUCUAAUAGUUUUAUUAGAAGAUAUGUCAGGUCAAGGUGCAGUCUAUGUCUAAGGGGAGAUGAGUUACAAUAAGUGUACUUAAAUGGAAAUUGAAUUGUAAAGUUUGAUUGAAGGUGGAUUUGAGUGUAAUAAGAUUUAGUUUAAUUUUAUGAAAAAGGCUCUAAAACAAGCACACAUC
rnacentral:rRNA from 1 species